GACUGCGUCGCUUAGUGGUUAGAGCAUCUCGUUGUGGUUUUCUUUACUACUCUGCACCAGCAGGGUUAGUAAUAGCCCCGAGAAGACGGGUGUUCGAUUCACCCCGCGGUCA